rnacentral:rRNA from 1 species
CCUACGGGAGGCAGCAGUGGGGGAUAUUGCACAAUGGGGGGAACCCUGAUGCAGCGACGCCGCGUGGGUGAAGAAGCGCCUCGGCGCGUAAAGCCCUGUCAGCAGGGAAGAAAAUGACGGUACCUGACGAAGACGCCCCGGCUAACUACGUGCCAGCCGCCGCGGUAAUACGUAGGGGGCAGGCGUUAUCCGGAUUUACUGGGUGUAAAGGGGGCGCAGACGGCAGUGCAAGCCAGGAGUGAAAGCCCGUGGCCCAACCCCGGGACUGCUCUUGGAACUGCGGGGCUGGAGUGCAGGAGGGGUCGGCGGAAUUCCUGGUGUAGCGGUGAAAUGCGUAGAUAUCAGGAGGAACACCGGUGGCGAAGGCGGCCUGCUGGACUGCAACUGACGUUGAGGCCCGAAAGCGUGGGGAGCAAACAGGAUUAGAUACCCCAGUAGUC